rnacentral:rRNA from 1 species
UAAGGAAUAUUGGACAAUGGGCGCAAGCCUGAUCCAGCCAUGCCGCGUGCAGGAUGACGGUCCUAUGGAUUGUAAACUGCUUUUGUACAGGAAGAAACAGUUCUACGUGUAGAACCUUGACGGUACUGUAAGAAUAAGGAUCGGCUAACUCCGUGCCAGCAGCCGCGGUAAUACGGAGGAUCCAAGCGUUAUCCGGAAUCAUUGGGUUUAAAGGGUUCGUAGGCGGUUAGAUAAGUCAGUGGUGAAAGCCCAUCGCUCAACGGUGGAACGGCCAUUGAUACUGUCUGACUUGAAUUAUUAGGAAGUAACUAGAAUAUGUAGUGUAGCGGUGAAAUGCUUAGAGAUUACAUGGAAUACCAAUUGCGAAGGCAGGUUACUACUAAUGGAUUGACGCUGAUGGACGAAAGCGUGGGUAGCGAACAGGAUUAGAUACCCUCGUAGUCCCUGAGCGGGCUGGCAAGGCGCAU